UUGAUCUUUCAGAGUUGUUUAAUUCCAAAUGUCAGUAGAAGUGAUUAGUGUUUAGUAGUGUGGUUGUAAUGAGUGAAACUGUGUGUGUGUGUGUGUGUGUGUGUGUGUGUGUGUGUGUGUACUCAUGUGGCUCUAUGAUGGGACAGUGUUGAAGGAUUCCAGCCUGAGGCAUCUAAAGCAGAAAAGAGGGCUUUUCCCUAAUAAGGCACAACAAGACUCAAGUUUGUCAAUAGACAUUAAUCACAGCUUUAAGGACCAUGGGCAGAAAUAUCUCACAUGUUAUUGGAUGCCCAACUUAAGUAUAAGUGAUUGUAUUAAUAUUGCUCUUUUCCAAUGGGCCUUGUAAUCAAUGAUGAUCAAUGCUAUCCUCAUGACAUGACCAUAGAGGCUCACUGAGGUCAAAAACACUCCAACAGAGCUGCCAGUUUACCGUUAUGUUCCUGUGAGGGUGAUUUUUGAUCUUAAAUUGCAUUAUCAGGUUUAAUAUGGAGUUUAAAUAAAAUGAGCUAUGUUCUAAUGUUGGUGUCCAGGAGAGGCCAAUGUAGAUGAAUUGCAUUUCUGCAUGGGUGAUUGUUUAGGAAAAAAGAAAAUGAUUCUCAUAUCUAACUGUCAUAUAAAAUGUUUAAAUUUACACUCAGAAAGCAAGGUAGUAUAAACAGUCAGAUGUUUAUUGAGCUGUAUUUCGUCAAAGCACAGUUUUCAUCAGACAAGCAUCAUUACACAGAGGUACAGGCACUUGUGAUCAUUCACGUACAAUUACUACACAAAAUGUAAGCAGAUGGUUGUGGCACAUAAAGAGUGAAGCAUGUGUGUGCUGAGUAUGUAUGUGUCUGUGUAUGUCUUUGCUUGCAUGUGCUUGAGCAUGUGCGCAUAAAGGAAAGUGUUUGCGUGGGAAUGAUAGAGCAAGAGUCCCGCCUUUUUGUUGCAAAGAAAUGCAUCAGUAAGGCAUUGGCUUUGUUUUGCGAGGUGGUUUGGAUGUGUAUGUGAGGAAAGAGG